AACGAACGCUGGCGGCGCGUCUUAAGCAUGCAAGUCGAACGGCAAGAUUUUGUAGCUUGCUACAAAAUCCUAGAGUGGCGGACUGGUGAGUAACACGUGGGUGACGUACCUUUCAGAUGGGGAUAGCUACUAGAAAUAGUAGAUAAUACCGAAUACGACCACAGGGGUUAGAGACCUGUGAGGAAAGGAGCUAAGGCUCCGCUGAAAGAUUGGCCCGCGGCCCAUUAGCUAGUUGGUAGGGUAAAGGCCUACCAAGGCAAUGAUGGGUAUCCGGCUGAGAGGGUGAUCGGACACAUUGGGACUGAGAUACGGCCAGACUCCUACGGGAGCAGCAGCUAAGAUAUUCCGCAAAUGGGACGAAAGUACUGACGGAGCGACGCCGCGUGGA
rnacentral:rRNA from 1 species